rnacentral:rRNA from 1 species
CCUACGGGCGGCUGCAGUGGGGAAUAUUGGACAAUGGGCGAAAGCCUGAUCCAGCCAUGCCGCGUGUGUGAAGAAGGCCUUCGGGUUGUAAAGCACUUUCAGUGGGGAAGAAAGCCUUGGGGCUAAUACCCUCGAGGAAGGACAUCACCCACAGAAGAAGCACCGGCUAACUCCGUGCCAGCAGCCGCGGUAAUACGGAGGGUGCGAGCGUUAAUCGGAAUUACUGGGCGUAAAGCGCGCGUAGGCGGUCUGAUAAGCCGGUUGUGAAAGCCCCGGGCUCAACCUGGGAACGGCAGCCGGAACUGUCAGGCUAGAGUGCAGGAGAGGAAGGUAGAAUUCCCGGUGUAGCGGUGAAAUGCGUAGAGAUCGGGAGGAAUACCAGUGGCGAAGGCGGCCUUCUGGACUGACACUGACGCUGAGGUGCGAAAGCGUGGGUAGCAAACAGGAUUAGAUACCCGGGUAGUC